GGCUCGGACACUCUCCUCUCUGUCGAGGGCAGGAGCCACUCUGGGACUUGACAAGACUGGUGACCAAUGCCUGCUGGGAGGUGCCGCUGUAUAUGUGUCAGGACUGGGACCCGCUCCCCCGGUGCCACCUCGGUGGCGUUCCAGCCGGAAGAGACGCUGCUGCAGAGUUGCGGGCACUGUGGCCGGUGUCCCGCACCCCCCAGGCUCUGCCGCCCCAUUAAAAGGGCCACGUCCUCACCCCUCGGCAUCUCGGAGACACCGGCCUCUGCUGCGGUCUGUUUUCGGGCAGAUGUGAAAGCCCAUGCGUGCCCCAUCUUCCCAGCUGGGGUUAUCACCUCAGGGCUGACAGCAGCGUGACAAAGCUCGUGGCACCGCUCAGAGCGGCAGGGGCAUUCCCAGUGCACGCUGCUCGGUGUGGGCAGAUGGGGGUCCGGGGGCUGGGAGGACCCCACGUUCCCGCUGCCUGCCAGCCCGAUGCGCACAGCAGCCAAGCCCUCCUAGGACCCCUCCUUGGACGAGCCGUGGUUUUGGAGGUCCAGCCAGUUACCGAGGGCUGGGGUUGAUCCCCGGCCCACGCAGGGAGGUUGGGGCCUGGCCAGCCGGCUCCGCGGAGAUGAAUCACCGCUCAUUGUUUACGUGAAGCCGGCUCCUGGGAGGACCCGGCACCCCACCCUUCCUGCGCCUGUUAUCUCUGCCCCACAGCAGCCCUGGGCAGCGCCAGGGAGCGCUGGGCUCCUCCGGGCCGAAACAGACUUCCCAGCCUCUGCCAGCCCAGCCGCGGGUCCGGUCCAGGGGGAACCGUUUGCCUUUCCUGCUUUUUGGCAGCUCCCCCCCCGCCCAGCGGAAGCGCUGCGUGUCCGAAGAGGAAGCCGGGCUGCGAAGAGCCGUGUUGCCUGCCUGCGCCCGGUGGGGUUCAGGAAGGUGGUCCCGAGGCUGCGCUCGUUACUGUCACAUGACCUGCCCUGUGGUCCCCAAGAGAGAAAUCGAGUCACACUUGCCGCCACCCCACAGACACACACUUGGCACCAGAAGAGGUUGGCGGGGGCUGAGACCACGGUUCCCCUAGUGAGAAGAAACAUCACAGUCGGUCGUCAACAACACUGUGUCGCAAGUGCCUGGUGUGAGGUAAGUGCCCAGCGAUGGGAGGGACAGAGGGAGUGGACAUGGGGCUGAAGAC
rnacentral:lncRNA from 1 species